rnacentral:misc_RNA from 1 species
UCCGCCUUGGAGGCGGCAGUCUCUUGUGAAAAAGCAACACAAGAUGAGGGUUGCGCUCGUUGGCUGACUGAACAGUACACCUCAAGGCACGAGCUGACGACGACCGUGCAGCGCCUGUCUCAGGGUUCCUUGCGGCACUCCCGAAUUUCUUCAGGAUUCCCUGGAUGUCAAGUCUGGGUGAGGUGCUUCGCUUAUCAUCGAAUUAAACCCCAUGCUCCACCGCUUGUGUGGGUCCCCGUCUAUUCCUUUGAGUUUUAGCCUUGCGGCCGUACUUCCCAGGCGGCGGGCUUACCGCGUAAGCUGAGGCACGGGACCAGAUUGAAGGUCCCACACCGAGCCCGCAUCGUUGAGGGCGUGGACUA